UACGAAGGGGGCUAGCGUUGUUCGGAAUCACUGGGCGUAAAGCGCACGUAGGCGGAUGUGCCAGUCAGGGGUGAAAUCCCGGAGCUCAACUCCGGAACUGCCUCUGAUACAGCACGUCUUGAGUCCGGAAGAGGUGGGUGGAAUUCCUAGUGUAGAGGUGAAAUUCGUAGAUAUUAGGAAGAACACCGGUGGCGAAGGCGGCCCACUGGUCCGGUACUGACGCUGAGGUGCGAAAGCGUGGGGAGCAAACAGG
rnacentral:rRNA from 1 species